CCCUGGGGGGCGCAUACCUCCCCCUGCUCCGUCCCCUAACCGGCUCCUGUCCUUUCUUACACCCAACGGCCAUGCAACGGGGAGGAAAAACCAACACCAAAUCAAACCCUAUCCAACCCCUAAUCAACUAUCAGAGAACUGUCCAGCAACCAUCCCAUCCGAGCGGCUAUUUAAACCAAACCAUCUCCAAACAUUCAGGUGUUGUUUCCUACAGGUCUAAUGAUCAGAGUCAAAUUCACAGUGCUAAUUAGACUGCGGGAAAUACAGCCCUCCUUUUCCUUGAUCCCUCCAUCAUCCUAUCUGUCUGUUAAUUCCCCCUCUGUAGACUCCAGUGACGUAUAGAGAAAUACUCCAAUUAGGUCUUUCUCAUUAGAGCUGAAACAAUGUUUUCAUUUUCAACAGCCAGGAAAAACACAUGGACUACACUGCAGGAAUGUACAUGUAUUUAGUACUGAAGUCGGGUAAAGGGAGGACGACUCAUUGUAAUGUCUGGAAUGGAAUCAAUGGAAUGGUACCAAAACAUAUUGAAACCAUGUGUUUGAUGUGUUUAAUACAGUUCCAUUCACUUAGGCUCCACUCCCACACCAGCUACCACUGGUCCGUAACAGAUCAGCUAAUUCCCAAUGCUCUGCAUCACGCAACACAGCACACAUAGCCUUCUGCUAGCAUACUUUACAACACAACAGCACAACUGGUGCUUAACUCUCACAGCACACCUUAGAAAACGAGCGGGACUUACGUCUUACGCCACCGGUAAUGCUUCACAGCCAUUGUUCAAAAGCAUUUACUGCCAUGUACACUAGCACACUUCAGAGGUCGAUACAAGCGGGUGAGAGAGAGAUGGGAGAAUUAGGAGCACACCUAAUAUCACACAGGACAUCACAUAAAACAGGUCAAUUACGCCAGAUAUGACAGACUGACACUAGCCCCCGGAUCUGCUGUCAUCAAGGCAAAGGGUGGCUACUUUGAAGAAUCUCAUAUAUAAAAUAUAUGUUGAUUUGUUUAACACUUUUUUGGUUACUACAUGUUUCCAUAUGUGUUAUUUCAUAUUCGUGAUGUCUUCACUAUUAUUCUACAAUGUAGAAAAUAGUCCAAAUAAAGAAAAAACCCUGGAAUAAGUAGGUGUGUCCAAACUUUUGACUGGUAAUGUAUAAAUAUAUACCCUAUAUAUAUCAAAGUAUUUCGACACCACUUCAUAUGAGUGGAUUUGGCUAUUUCAGCCACGCCCGUUGCCUACGGGUGUAGAAAAUCGAGCACACAGCCAUGCAAUCGCCAUAGAAAAACAUUGGCAGUAGAAUGGCCUUACUGAAGAGCUCUGUGACUUUCGACGUGGCACCGUCAAAUUCCUGCCCUGCUAGAGCUGCCCCGAUCAACUGUAAAUGCUGUUAUUGUGAAGUGGAAACUCUAGGAGCGACCACAGCUCAGCCACAAGUGAUAGGCUACACAAGCUCACAGAACUGGAUCAAUGAGUGCUGAAGCGCGUUACGCGUAAACAUCGCCUCUCCUUGGCUGCAACACUCAAUACCGAGUUCCAAACUGUCUCUGAAGCAACGUCAGCGCCAUAAUCUUCGUUAGCACCAUAACCUUCGUUAGCACCAUAACCUUCGUUAGCCGCGCACAAGCCUAAAAUCACCAGGCGCAAUGCCAAGCGUCGGCUGGAGUGUUGUUGGAGCAGUUGGACUCUGGAGCAGUGGAAACACGUUCUCUGGAGUGAUGAAUCACGCCACACCAUCUGGCAGUCUGAUGGACAAAUCUGGAUUUGGCAGAUGUCAGGAGAAUGCUACCUGCCCAAAUGCAUAGUGCCAACUGUAGUGUUUGGUGAAGAAGGAAUAAUGGUCUGGGGCUAUUUUUCAUUCCAGUGAAGGGAAAUAUUAAUGCUACUGCAUACAAUGACAUUCUAGACGAUUCUGUGCUUCCUACUUCGUGGCAACAGUUUGGGGAAGGCCCUUUCCUGUUUCAGCAUGACAAUGCCCCCUUGCACAAAGCGAGGUCCAUUUAGCGGGCGCUCUUGUUCUUUGCAACUUACAGUCAGUGCAUUAAACCAAGGUAAUAAUGUAUAAAUAACAUGUCACAGCCAGUUAAGUUAAACGUUUCUGUAACCAUUACUGAACACGUUGUUGUAGUUAAGGAUACAUUGAUCUUCAAAAUAACGGCAAUUACAACAAGAUAUCUUAUGUUAUAUCUCUGACUAUAUCUGGAUAGUGCCAAUACAAUACUGAGAUAUGCACGGUAACUUGAUGCCAGAGCAAUGAAACACACUACGCUACAGUAAAGGGGUUAUUAAACUGUAAGACAAUUAUAUCUACAGUAUUUUACUGUAAAUAAAAUGGAUCAGAUCAAGCAGGUUUGCUAUAUACAAUUACAUAUUACAGCAUAUUAAUGAAUACUUAGUGUUUUAUAACACUUGCACUUCUAGAGCCUAAACAAAGGCUUCCAAACUGACCGUGAAUGCACGACAAAACAGAUAAAAAUGGACAUGGGUAAAUAUUCAACUAUUAAAGGUCCUGAAAAGUCAUUCUGAUUGACAUGUAAAAUAGCCUUUUGUGUGACUAAAAUAACACCCAUAACAUUUGUUUUGGAUAGAAAAGCGCAAAAUUUGAGAAAAAGUACUUUUUGGCCAACUACCAGGAAGUUGAAAAAGACAGGCGGAGUGGGCAGGGAACUUAUAUUCAUGAGCUCACCUUGACUGACAGCUCUUUGAAAGGCCUAUGUCAAGCAACUUGGAGGCAGUGAACAGUGUUGCAAUGAUAUCAUCGCAAGUCAAUUUGGUGAUACACAAAGCAACAUUGAAAUUGCGUCAAUCAUAUCAUUUUUGUGAGACAGUACUUCUUAUUUUCCUGUGAUAUUAUGGCGGUCCGCAAACAAAUGUUAUAGAUGCAUGCCGCCACCUACUGUAUUGGCUGUGUACCAGCCUAAUAUUCUGUAGUAUGAAUUCUUUACACUGUGAAAAAUGUUUGCCCUACCAACUAACCCUACCCCCAUUAAAAACCUCACCACCUUUCCACUACUUUGGCCCUAUCUGAUUCUACACCAGGCCAGCAGCCUGGGAAGACGGGACACUAUCGUUCAAAACACCUUGUAACUCUUCUGCAGUAAAAUCUCAUACACCCAAGUACUUCUCUGCAGCUACCGCCACAACAUCUAUCCUUUGUGAUUUCUGUUCCAUUCCUGUGGUUCAGUUAACAACCAUGGCCAUGAACGCCCAAAAAAGGAACUUUAAUGAAGCACAUGUUAUUCUUAUCACUCUCUCUUGGCCUCGACCUACUCACCCUGUACCAGUAAGUGAGCGGAGCUGGGACGGAGCGUGCCCAAUUUGACUGGAGCGAGGAGCGAGAUGGCCAAAAGAUGGAGCGUCACGGCUCGUCUACACUAGCACGCGGUAAAUUGCCGUGUGCCGCUUCGGCCGCCCAGAGCGGCUCGCUUGUGGGCGUGCUGGCAGCAUAUCGCAGCACAUUCGAUUGUGCGUCAAGAAUUCAGCAUAGCAAGUUUGUAUGAAAGUCUGGUUAUUAAAUGGGUAAAUAGCUUAUUCCAAUCUCCAUUUCAUGAAUUUAUUCACAGGUAAAUAGUAACAUGCUCUAAACCACUCAGGUAACAAACAAACUUUGCUGUCCUUUUUCCAAAAUGUCCACAUGGCUGGGAGAACCUACUCAAAUUCCUUCAAAACGAUUGCCUACAGUUACCGUGUAGGGCACUGCAAGGUUGUGUGACCAGGGCCAUCCGUUGAAAUACAGAUAGAGAUGUAGUAGUCCCAGAGUUAAUGAUCCAAGAUAUUUUUGGAUGUGAGAGAGGAAGCCAGUCCCGUCAUCGCCACUUCACCCGCUCUUAAGAUAACCUUCGGGCCAACUGGGGGCCCAAGGCUGUUAGGAGACACCGCUAGAGACACUAUUAUGAAAUGGUGAUGAACUGAGAGAAUAUUAGGGUAGCACUGUAAUUCAUUAUUUAUAUGCUGUCUUCCCUGCUCCUCUGUUCUUACCUCUUUCCCUUUCUGUCUUUUAAACUCUCUCACGCCUCUCUACCCACCUCCUCUUUCUUCCUCUGUUUUUAUAAUGCACACCAUAUUUGCAUUGAAGUACAGAUUGAACUCGAAUUUAUAAUAUUACAAUUAUAAUAUUUAUAAUGCAUGUAUUAUGUAUUUAUAACACUUGGAUGAUGAACUUCUUUUAAUAAAGCAUUUCACGUUAUCCACUUGUUGAAAUUAAGUCUCUCAUUUGAUGAAAUACUACACCUAUCCUAUGUCCUCAGAUUAAUGCAGAUGAAGGGAGUUACAUAUUGACAUGAACUGGCUUUAGAGUAUUUACAUGAUGCGUACUGUAGGAAGUGUAGUGAACUGUUUUUUAAAAUUCUGUUUCUGUAUAUAUGAAUUACAAAUCAGCCUUUAACUACUUAAAUCAUGUUUCUAGUCUAUUGCAUGGUUAUAAUGAGUGACCAUUGAUGUCCCAGGACCAGGAUUGGUAACACUGUUAAAGUGUAUAAUGGCAAUACAUUCAUGCAGACACAGCAUCAUUCAAAGAAUGGAGUUUGAUACUCCUGGUAUUGAAUAUGACUGAAAAGUAAUGUUUCACCGACAUUCAUACCUGAACCGCACCUUUAUUUGCCAUGGUAGAGUACACGAUCAGUGAAUAUAUUUAAUGUACAGGCAGGGUUGGGGAGUAAUAUAUUACAUGUCAUCCGUUACAUGUAAGGGAUUACAAAAACGGUAACUGUAAUCCGUUACGUUACCAGCAAAAAUAUUGUAAUCAGAUGACAGAUACUUUUGAAAAACAAUAUGAUUACUUUGAGGAUGUUUUUUUAAAAACAGAAAGGAUGUUUGCAAAAAAAAAUAUCCGACACUUCUCUGUUUUCUCAAUGACAUUCAAAUCAGCAUUGAAAAAAGGCACAAGUUUGUUCCACCUGAGCGAGUCUGACCACAAGUCAGAGACCACUAUGAUGACCCACCAAAUGGGUUUGAUGGAUCCUGGGUAAAGAGCAGGAAUAGGCUUUUGUAGGCUACAGUCCAAGCGGUGUCUUCCAAUGGUGCGACUGCUGUCGGCAUCCAAAGAUUAUUCAACUUGAAUAAACGCUUGGAUGUAAGGAUGACAACAGCGGUGUAGUCUACGGCGAUACGGAUAUCACUUAUUAUUGAUAUCUACAUAGCGCAUUGAUGUGAAUCACACUGCUGCUCUCUCAUUUAGCUAUUUGCGCUUUACGGAUUGUGGUUGUUGAGGUUUGGCUGUUCAUAAAUCUAAAUGUGUAUUUGAACCCAAUAACGGUUGAAUUCAAGAAGUUUAAGCUGCCUAUCAAUCAUUGUUUUUGAAACCAGUGGACAGCCAGUGAAAAAUGUGCUCUUGCAGCAGCUGCAUAGUGCGGAUCCCAGCCUAUGGAAUAAAAGUGGGCCUUUUAUUGCUCAAUCUAAUUCAUGCUGAUACAAAAGGGACAAUCUGUAGUUGCUACAUCCAUCUUUGGACUAAUGAUUUAUAUAUACAGUACCAGUCAAAGGUUUGGACACACCUUCUCAUUCACGGGUUUUUCUUUAUUUUGAUUAUUUUCUACAUUGUAGAAUAAU